GAUGAACGCUAGCUACAGGCUUAACACAUGCAAGUCGAGGGACCGGCGCACGGGUGAGUAACACGUAUCCACCCUGCCCUUAACUCGGGGAUAGCUUUUCGAAAGAAAGAUUAAUACCCGAUGUAAAGGAUGGGGAGGGGUUCCAUUGGUUUGUUGUUGAGGUACCGGCUAACCAAGCCUUCGAUGGAUAGGGGUCUGGGGAGGAAGGUCCCCCACAUUGGAACUGAGACACGGUCCAAACUCCUACGGGAGGCAGCAGUGAGGAAUAUUGGGCAAUGGGCGUUAGCCUGAACCAGCCAAGUAGCGUGAAGGAUGAAGGCUUAUGGGUCGUAAACUUCUUUUAUAUAAGAAUAUGUAUUAUAUGAAUAAGGAUCGGCUAACUCCGUGCCAGCCGCCGCGGUAAUAC
rnacentral:rRNA from 1 species